rnacentral:rRNA from 1 species
UACGUAGGGCGCAAGCGUUAUCCGGAAUUAUUGGGCGUAAAGAGCUCGUAGGCGGUUUGUCGCGUCUGCCGUGAAAGUCCGGGGCUCAACUCCGGAUCUGCGGUGGGUACGGGCAGACUAGAGUGAUGUAGGGGGAGACUGGAAUUCCUGGUGUAGCGGUGAAAUGCGUAGAUAUCAGGAGGAACACCGGUGGUGUAAACGGCUUUCUGGACCAUAACUGACGCUGAGGCACGAAAAGCGUGGGUAGCAAACAGG